UCUCUGGUAUGCCAUUUGAAUUUAUGGUC
rnacentral:sRNA from 1 species